rnacentral:rRNA from 1 species
UCCGUAGGCGGGCAAUUAAGUCAGAGGUGAAAUCCCACAGCUCAACUGUGGAACUGCCUUUGAUACUGGUUGUCUUGAGUUACAGUGAAGUAGAUAGAAUAUGUAGUGUAGCGGUGAAAUGCAUAGAUAUUACAUAGAAUACCGAUUGCGAAGGCAGUCUACUAACUGUAUACUGACGCUAAUGGACGAAAGCGUGGGGAGCGAACAGGAUUAGAUACCCAGGUAGUCC